rnacentral:rRNA from 1 species
UACGUAGGGGGCUAGCGUUGUCCGGAUUUAUUGGGCGUAAAGAGCGUGUAGGCGGUUUGGUAGGUCCGUUGUGAAAACUCGAGGCUCAACCUCGAGACGCCGGUUGAAACCAUCUGGCUAGAGUCCGGAAGAGGAGAGUGGAAUUCCUGGUGUAGCGGUGAAAUGCGCAGAUAUCAGGAGGAACACCCGUGGCGAAAGCGGCUCUCUGGGACGGUACUGACGCUGAGACGCGAAAGCGUGGGGAGCAAACAGG